UAGUUUAAGUGACAAUGUAUAAUAAAAGACAUAAUUCUGACUGUCGAGAAUGGAUAUGCUCUAAUUCGAUAAUGGUGGUCAAAAUUUGUAAUGCAACUCCAAACAAGAUUUUUUUUUCUUUUCUAUAAUCUUAACCCUUCAAACUAUCGUAUUAAUAUCAAAUAAAUUUUGAUAGUUAUAUAAUCCAAAAACUUUAAAUUAUGUUCCA
rnacentral:lncRNA from 1 species